CGACCGGCGCACGGGUGAGUAACGCGUAUCCAACCUGCCCUUUACUUGGGGAUAACCCGUUGAAAGACGGACUAAUACCCAAUGAUAUUCAUUGAUGACAUCUGAUUUGAAUUAAAGAUUUAUCGGUAUAGGAUGGGGAUGCGUCUGAUUAGCUUGUUGGUGAGGUAACGGCUCACCAAGGCCACGAUCAGUAGGGGUUCUGAGAGGAAGGUCCCCCACAUUGGAACUGAGACACGGCCCAAACUCCUACGGGAGGCAGCAGCA
rnacentral:rRNA from 1 species